AAGAAUUUAACAUGUUAUAAACAACAAUUAAACAAGUAAUGUGAAAAAACAUAGUUGAAAUUUGGGGCUAAGUUACCCAGUUUAAAAAUUAUGACAAAAAAUUUACGUUAAAUGGACUAUAAUAAAUGUAUUUUUUUCUUUGUAUAGAAUUAUGAACUGUUGUACACUAACAGAAAUAGUUUUAGAUCAUUUGCGUUAUCUGAUGAUAUCUCACAGUUUGAUCUAAUAUUAUCACUAUAUUUCAGGUGGUCUGGUAGAUAAAUGCAUUAAAGAACCUGUAGUUCUGGCUAAAGCUAAAAGAGAACAAAUUAAAGCUGUGCAUCUACCAUAUGAUGAAUAUUUAAUGUGGGGUAGAGGAAACAAGAGUCUUCCUUUAAAUAUUCUAUUGGAUAUUCUUUUGGAAAUGAAAAACACCAAUGACUGGAAUAAGGCAUUUAAGCGAGUACCUCAAAGGAAGUUAGUAAGAAGCUUGGAUUUGUUUUCUGAAUUUUGAAGAACAGCAUAUUAUCAAAAAUGAAAUAAAUAAAAUUGUUACUGUCAA